UGACACAUGACCAAUUGUGAUACUCCCAAC
rnacentral:piRNA from 1 species